rnacentral:SRP_RNA from 1 species
GCUCGGCAUGGUGGCGCGUGCCUGUAGUCCCAGCUACUCGGGAGGCUGAGGUGGGAGGAUUGCUUUAGCCCAAGAGUUCUGGGCUGUAGUGCACUAUGCCGAUCCGGUGUCUGCAUUAAGUUCGGCAUCAUUAUGGUGACCUCCCGGGAGUGAGGGACCGCCAGGUUACCUAAGGAGGGGUGAACCAGCCCAGGUCAGAAACGGAGCAGGUCAAAACUCCCGUGCUGAUCAGUAGUGGGAUUGUGCCUGUGAAUAGCCACUGCACUCCAGCCUGGGCAACAUAUCGAGACCCCAUCUCU